GCUCGUGAACAUUGACACAAGAAACACGGGAGUGGUUCCUUUCCUGAUCCACGCAUGCCACGCAUGCAGGGGGCGCCCGUGAUUUUUACUGUGACUAAAGAAGUGCGAUCAAAGCAGUCGCAUCGACUUGAAUUAGCAAGCAUGGGAUAACAAAGGAGCAGCCAUUAGGCUACCGUUUCGGCUUUUGUUGGUUUUAAAGGUCUAUUGGAGAUUAUGGAGGCUGUGCGACAAGUGCCACGUGCCGCGUGUUCACCACCGGCACCGGCGCCUUCGCCCGGGUCCCUGGCCCGCGUCGGAGCUUGCUCUCGCCGCGCGGCCUCCCCCGGGC
rnacentral:rRNA from 1 species